GUAAUGGAGAGGUAAGUGGAAUUCUCGGUGUAGCAGUGAAAUGCGUAGAUAUCGAGAGGAACAUCAAUGGCGAAGGCAACUUACUGGACAUUUACUGACGCUCAGACACGAAGGCUAGGGGAGCGAAAGGGAUUAGAUACCCCUGUAGUCCUAGCAGUAAACGGUGCUCGCUUGGUGUGGGAGGGUUCGACCCCUUCUGUGCCGGAGCUAACGCGUUAAGCGAGCCGCCUGGGAAGUACGGUCGCAAGACUAAAACUCAAAGAAAUUGACGGGGACCCGCACAAGCGGUGGAGUAUGUGGCUUAAUUCGAUGCAACGCGAAGAACCUUACCUAGGCUUGACAUGCUUGUCGUACUCUCCCGAAAAGGAGAGGUCACUUCGGGUGGACAAUGCACAGGUGCUGCAUGGCCGUCGUCAGCUCGUGUCGUGAGAUGUUUGGUUAAGUCCAGCAACGAGCGCAACCCCUGUGAAUAGUUGCCAGCGCGUAAUGGCGGGGACUCUAUUCAGACUGCCCAGAUCAACUGGGAGGAAGGUGGGGACGACGUCAGGUCAGUAUGGCCCUUACGCCUAGGGCUGCACACGUACUACAAUGCCCAGCACAAUGAGAACCAAUACCGCGAGGUGGAGGAAAUCUGUAAAACUGGGCCCAGUUCGGAUUGGAGGCUGCAACUCGCCUCCAUGAAGUUGGAAUCGCUAGUAAUGCCGUAUCAGCUACGACGGCGUGAAUACGUUCCCGGGUCUUGUACACACCGCCCGUCACAUCAUGGAAGUCGGUCGCACCCGAAGUAUAUGCGCUAACUCCUCGGAGAAGCAGUAUCCUAAGGUGAGGCUGGUAAC
rnacentral:rRNA from 1 species